UUCACGGUGGCUCAUGGUUUGCAUAUUCGGCCGUCUGACUCUGGUUGUCUUUCAGCAUAUUCUGAUGCAGACUGGGCUGGCAAUCCGGAUGACAGGCGAUCCACGGGGGGUUAUGAUGUCUUCUUUGGCUCUAACCUGAUUGCCUGGAGUACUCGGAAACAGGCUACUGUCUCGCGUAGCAGUACUGAGGCUGAGUAUAAGGCUGUGGCCAAUGCCACAUCAGAGAUCAUCCGGGUACAGUCCUUGCUUCAGGAGUUAAGUAUACCCCAAUCACAGCCUCCUGUUCUUUGGUGUGAUAACAUCGGUGCUACAUACCUUUCUGCAAAUCCGGUAUUCCAUGCCCGAACGAAACACAUUGAAGUUGACUAUCACUUUGUGCGUGAACGUGUCUCUCAGAAGCAACUACAGAUCAAGUUUAUUUCU
rnacentral:rRNA from 1 species